CAUAUAACCAAGAACGCAACUUCUCCUCUGCUAAACACUUUUCUAAGCCUUCACUCUCUAAUCAACCCCCUCACAUCAAACAUCAUUACAAUAAUUUCACUCAGUUUCAUCUAAAAUCAUACUAAUUCACCGUAAUUAAUUCGCAUAAUUACUCUAAUUGCUCGAUUUCAAGCCGAUUGAUUGUGAUUUUGUGCAGUGAUUAGCGAAUUUGUGUAGUGCUGUUAUGGCGCUCACACAAGCUGACCUACCUACUAUGUAUACGCUCCUCUCCAAUUCGCUUAGUGGCGAUGAGAACCUCCGGAAGCCUGCUGAAGCUGCGCUUUCGCACUCCGAAAACCGGCCUGGUUUCUGCUCUUGUCUGCUGGAGGUGAUUACUGCCAAGGAUUUGGUGGCUCAGACGGAUGUUCGGUUACUGGCUUCUGUGUAUCUUAAGAACAGUGUUGGGAGGUACUGGAGGAAUAGGCGCGAGAGUUGGGUUGUGUACACGUGCAGUGGAAUUAGCAAGGAGGAGAAAUUGCAUUUAAGGCAAAAACUGCUGUCUCACUUGAGAGAAGAAAAUUAUCAGAUUGCUGUUACAUUGGCUGUGCUCAUUUCAAAGAUUGCUCGGUUUGACUAUCCUAAAGAAUGGCCAGAGCUAUUUUCUACCUUGUCUCAGCAGCUUCAAUCAGCGGAUGUUCUUACUUCACAAAGAAUCUUUUUGAUCCUCUUCCGAACUUUGAAGGAGUUGUCUACAAAACGUCUUGCUGCAGACCAGAGAAAUUUUGCGCAGAUAUCGUCCCAAUUCUUCGAUUUUAGCUGGCAGCUUUGGCAGAGGGAUGCACAGGCAAUACUGCAUGGUUUUUCUGUGCUUGCUCAAAGUUUAAGCUCAAAUGCUUCGGAGACGCAUGAUGACCUUUAUAUAACAUGUCAAAGAUGGUAUCUCUGCUCAAAGAUUUUACGCCAAUUGAUCAUUGCUGGGUUCCAAAGUGAUGCAAGAUCUAUGCAGGAGGUUCGACAAGUCAAAGAGGUCUCUCCUUUGUUUUUGAAGGCCAUUGAAUCAUUUCUUCCACACUAUAAAUCUUUUCGUGAGAAACAUCUGAGAUUCUGGGACUUCUUGAAGAAGGCUUGUACUAAACUGAUGAAGAUUCUAGUUACAAUUCAAAAGUGUCAUCCGUAUUCCUUCGGUGAUAAAUGUGUCCUGCCUCUUGUCAUAGACUUCACCUUGAAUACAAUCACAGAUCCUGGGCCGGAGCUAAUGUCAUUUGAGAAAUAUAUUAUUCAGUGCAUGUCAAUGGUGAAAACUAUACUUGAAUGUAAAGAAUACAAGCUAAACCUGACUGGUCGUGUGAUGGGUGAAAAUGGAGUUACAUUUGAGAAGAUUAAAGAGAGCAUGUCUAGUCAUGUUGCUGGUGUUAUUUCCUCACUUCUGCCAAGUGACCGGGUGGUGAUCUUAUGUAACAUAUUGAUACGGAGGUACUUUGUUUUGUCGGCAAGUGAUGUGGAGGAAUGGUACCAGAACCCUGAGUCUUUUCAUCAUGAGGAGGAUUCUGUUCUCUGGUCGGAAAAACUGAGGCCAUGUGCUGAAGCACUAUACAUUGUUUUGUUUGAAAAUCAUAGCCAACUUCUAGGUCCUGUUGUGGUUUCUAUACUACAAGAGGCAAUGAGUGAGUGUCCUUCUUCUGUAUCCGAAAUCACCCAGGGUUUACUUCUCAAAGAAGCUGCUUAUGGUGCUGCUGCAUACGUGUAUUAUGAGCUAUCAAAUUACUUAAGCUUCAAGGACUGGUUUAAUGGUGCAUUAUCUUUAGAGUUGACAAAUGAUCAUCCAAAUAUGCGGAUCAUCCAUAGGAAAGUUGCACUUAUUCUUGGGCAGUGGGUCUCGGAGAUUAAAGAUGACACCAGAAGAGCAGUGUAUUGCGCUUUAAUUAAAUUGCUGCAGGACAAUGAUAUAUGUGUCAGGCUGGCAGCAGCUCGGUCAUUGUAUUUUCAUGUAGAAGAUGCAACUUUCUCCGAGCAGGAGUUUUCCGAUCUUUUUCCCGUCUGUUGGUGCUCGUGCUUUAAAUUAGUAGAGGAAGUUCAAGAGUUUGACUCCAAGGUUCAAGUUCUCAAUACCAUAUCUGCUUUAAUUACACAUGUCAAUGGUGUCACUCCUUAUGCCAACAAUUUGGUGCAAUUCUUUCAGAAGGCAUGGGAAGAAUCUUCUGGUGAAAAUCUUCUGCAGAUUCAGCUUCUUACUGCUUUGAAGAAUUUUGUUGUCGCACUGGGUUAUCAGUCACCCUUGUGUUACAACAUGUUAGUGCCCAUUUUGCAAGGUGGACUCAUUAUAAAUAGUCCAGAUGAACUUCUAGAAGACUAUAUGCUGUUAUGGGAAGCUACAAUUUCUCAUUCUCCUUCAAUGGUACCUCAACUGUUAGGACUCUUCCCACAUCUUGUGGAGAUCUUGAACAGAAGUUCUGCUCACGUGAAGGUUGCUGCCAAUAUUAUUGAAGGAUACAUACUUUUGGGUGGUAAUGAGUUUCUAAAUCUUCAUGCGUCUAGUGUUUCCAGACUUCUAGAUUUCGUUGUCGAAAAUAUCAACGAUAAAGGGUUGCUGUCAGUUAUUCCAGUCAUUGACCUUCUAAUUCAGUGUUUCCCUGUCGAGGUUCCCCAGUUAAUUAGCAGCACUCUUCAGAAAUUGAUUGUUAUAUGCUUAAUUGGAGGAGACAAUCAUGAUCCUUCUAAAACAACUGUAAAAGCUUCUUCAGCAGCUAUUUUGGCAAGGAUUUUGGUAAUGAACACCAAUUACCUUGCACAGUUAACAACACAGCCAUCAUUAUUGGUACUACUCCAGCAGGCAGGUUUUUUAAGUGAAGAAGGCGUACUUCUUUGUCUGGUUGACAUAUGGCUUGACAAGAUUGACAAUGUGACAUCGAUUCAGAGAAAGACAUUUGGUUUAGCCCUUUCUAUUAUAUUGACACUAAAAUUACCUCAAGUGCUUGACAAGCUUGAUCAGAUCCUGAGUGCUUGUACAAGUGUUAUACUGGGUGGAAGCGAAGAUUUAACGGAAGAGUCCAGCAGCGAUAAUAUGAGCUCUGCCAGACCUCAGUUUCCUACCAAAGAGUACAGGAAGAGACAGAUCAAACUAUCUGACCCUAUACACCAGUUAUCACUGGAGAACUCAGUGCGCGAAAAUCUUCAAACCUGUGCUGCCCUUCACGGGAAGUCAUUUGAUUCCGCCAUUGGUAGAAUGCAUCCUGCAGCUUUUGCUCAACUAAAGCAAGCUUUGAAUAUGACAUAAGCCAGAACUGAUGUUCCAGCCAUUUGCUGGUAUUGUGUGAUAUUCCAGUCAUUUGGUGGCGAUGUGCAGGGGAAUGGGCGUGCUCGUGCAGGAAAUGGCUCUGGGGCAUUUUCUUGUUCUUUUUGUCACUCAACAAAGUUGCAAUUGCUGUAUACAGAUUGUCCAAAAAUUGUAAAUAUUGUUGUCCUUGUAUGACAUAGUUUUUAGGAACAUAGGGAUAUUGAGCAUCUGAGUUUCAAAUUUAGAAACAUAGGGAUAUUGAGCAUCUGAGUUUCAAAAGUUAAGUUAUUACAUACAUGUAGUGGGGGAGAGCUGUUGUCCAAUGAUUAAUGUCAAUGGUUUUUGUUGUGCAGUAAUGUAAUUGACAAAAACAGACUACUGUCGGAAGCCAAAGGCAGCUUAAUGAGGAUUUGGGAUUACUUGAUUUAUCAUAUUAUA